rnacentral:misc_RNA from 1 species
AACGGUCUAUACCUGCGGUACCUGCGGAGGGAUCAUUACAGGACUCGCAAGACUCCUACAACCCUGUGAACUUAACUAUAAGCACGUUGCUUCGGCGGGUGUCUCGGCGAGGGUUCUCCCUCCCCGGGGCGCUAAGCCCGCCGGCAGCCUACUAUACUCUGUCUCUUUGCGUUGGCAUCUCGAGUACAAACAAACAAGUUAAAACUUUCAACAAUGGAUCUCUAGAUCGGAAGAGCACAC